UAGGGAAUCUUCCGCAAUGGGCGAAAGCCUGACGGAGCAACGCCGCGUGAGUGAUGAAGGUCUUCGGAUCGUAAAACUCUGUUAUUAGGGAAGAACAAAUGUGUAAGUAACUAUGCACGUCUUGACGGUACCUAAUCAGAAAGCCACGGCUAACUACGUGCCAGCAGCCGCGGUAAUACGUAGGUGGCAAGCGUUAUCCGGAAUUAUUGGGCGUAAAGCGCGCGUAGGCGGUUUUUUAAGUCUGAUGUGAAAGCCCACGGCUCAACCGUGGAGGGUCAUUGGAAACUGGAAAACUCGAGUGCAGAAGAGGAAAGUGGAAUUCCAUGUGUGGCGGUGAAAUGCGCAGAGAUAUGGAGGAACACCAGUGGCGAAGGCGACUUUCUGGUCUGUAACUGACGCUGAUGUGCGAAAGCGUGGGGAUCAAACAGG
rnacentral:rRNA from 1 species